GUCAAGAACUCGUCGUUAAGUUUGCUAUUAACUAUAACGGGAGCUUUUUACAAGCUCUAACUUGACCAGACUAAGGUUCUUGAAACCUACGUUAUUCAACUCAUGAAACCUAUGAAUGCGUGCCAGUUCUAGCUCUUUCGUACAAUUUUAAACAGGCUUAACGAGUUAAACCAGUGAAUUGUACAAAUGCAAGGUUGAAUAACAUUGUCGAGGCUCACUUUAC
rfam:Crinalium epipsammum PCC 9333, complete genome.